rnacentral:rRNA from 1 species
GGGUUGUGAGGUUAAGCGACUAAGCGUACACGGUGGAUGCCCUGGCAGUCAGAGGCGAUGAAGGACGUGCUAAUCUGCGAUAAGCGUCGGUGAGGUGAUAUGAACCGUUAUAACCGGCGAUUUCCGAAUGGGGAAACCCAGUGUGUUUCGACACACUAUCAUUAACUGAAUCCAUAGGUUAAUGAGGCGAACCGGGGGAACUGAAACAUCUAAGUACCCCGAGGAAAAGAAAUCAACCGAGAUUCCCCCAGUAGCGGCGAGCGAACGGGGAGGAGCCCAGAGCCUGAAUCAGUGUGUGUGUUAGUGGAAGCGUCUGGAAAGGCGUGCGAUACAGGGUGACAGCCCCGUACACAAAAAUGCACAUAUUGUGAGCUCGAUGAGUAGGGCGGGACACGUGGUAUCCUGUCUGAAUAUGGGGGGACCAUCCUCCAAGGCUAAAUACUCCUGACUGACCGAUAGUGAACCAGUACCGUGAGGGAAAGGCGAAAAGAACCCCGGCGAGGGGAGUGAAAAAGAACCUGAAACCGUGUACGUACAAGCAGUGGGAGCCUCUUAAUGGGGUGACUGCGUACCUUUUGUAUAAUGGGUCAGCGACUUAUAUUCUGUAGCAAGGUUAACCGAAUAGGGGAGCCGAAGGGAAACCGAGUCUUAACUGGGCGUUAAGUUGCAGGGUAUAGACCCGAAACCCGGUGAUCUAGCCAUGGGCAGGUUGAAGGUUGGGUAACACUAACUGGAGGACCGAACCGACUAAUGUUGAAAAAUUAGCGGAUGACUUGUGGCUGGGGGUGAAAGGCCAAUCAAACCGGGAGAUAGCUGGUUCUCCCCGAAAGCUAUUUAGGUAGCGCCUCGUGAAUUCAUCUCCGGGGGUAGAGCACUGUUUCGGCAAGGGGGUCAUCCCGACUUACCAACCCGAUGCAAACUGCGAAUACCGGAGAAUGUUAUCACGGGAGACACACGGCGGGUGCUAACGUCCGUCGUGAAGAGGGAAACAACCCAGACCGCCAGCUAAGGUCCCAAAGUCAUGGUUAAGUGGGAAACGAUGUGGGAAGGCCCAGACAGCCAGGAUGUUGGCUUAGAAGCAGCCAUCAUUUAAAGAAAGCGUAAUAGCUCACUGGUCGAGUCGGCCUGCGCGGAAGAUGUAACGGGGCUAAACCAUGCACCGAAGCUGCGGCAGCGACACUAUGUGUUGUUGGGUAGGGGAGCGUUCUGUAAGCCUGUGAAGGUGGCCUGUGAGGGUUGCUGGAGGUAUCAGAAGUGCGAAUGCUGACAUAAGUAACGAUAAAGCGGGUGAAAAGCCCGCUCGCCGGAAGACCAAGGGUUCCUGUCCAACGUUAAUCGGGGCAGGGUGAGUCGACCCCUAAGGCGAGGCCGAAAGGCGUAGUCGAUGGGAAACAGGUUAAUAUUCCUGUACUUGGUGUUACUGCGAAGGGGGGACGGAGAAGGCUAUGUUGGCCGGGCGACGGUUGUCCCGGUUUAAGCGUGUAGGCUGGUUUUCCAGGCAAAUCCGGAAAACCAAGGCUGAGGCGUGAUGACGAGGCACUACGGUGCUGAAGCGACAAAUGCCCUGCUUCCAGGAAAAGCCUCUAAGCAUCAGGUAACAUCAAAUCGUACCCAAAACCGACACAGGUGGUCAGGUAGAGAAUACCAAGGCGCUUGAGAGAACUCGGGUGAAGGAACUAGGCAAAAUGGUGCCGUAACUUCGGGAGAAGGCACGCUGAUAUGUAGGUGAAGCGACUUGCUCGUGGAGCUGAAAUCAGUCGAAGAUACCAGCUGGCUGCAACUGUUUAUUAAAAACACAGCACUGUGCAAACACGAAAGUGGACGUAUACGGUGUGACGCCUGCCCGGUGCCGGAAGGUUAAUUGAUGGGGUUAGCGGUAACGCGAAGCUCUUGAUCGAAGCCCCGGUAAACGGCGGCCGUAACUAUAACGGUCCUAAGGUAGCGAAAUUCCUUGUCGGGUAAGUUCCGACCUGCACGAAUGGCGUAAUGAUGGCCAGGCUGUCUCCACCCGAGACUCAGUGAAAUUGAACUCGCUGUGAAGAUGCAGUGUACCCGCGGCAAGACGGAAAGACCCCGUGAACCUUUACUAUAGCUUGACACUGAACAUUGAGCCUUGAUGUGUAGGAUAGGUGGGAGGCUUUGAAGUGUGGACGCCAGUCUGCAUGGAGCCGACCUUGAAAUACCACCCUUUAAUGUUUGAUGUUCUAACGUUGGCCCGUAAUCCGGGUUGCGGACAGUGUCUGGUGGGUAGUUUGACUGGGGCGGUCUCCUCCUAAAGAGUAACGGAGGAGCACGAAGGUUGGCUAAUCCUGGUCGGACAUCAGGAGGUUAGUGCAAUGGCAUAAGCCAGCUUGACUGCGAGCGUGACGGCGCGAGCAGGUGCGAAAGCAGGUCAUAGUGAUCCGGUGGUUCUGAAUGGAAGGGCCAUCGCUCAACGGAUAAAAGGUACUCCGGGGAUAACAGGCUGAUACCGCCCAAGAGUUCAUAUCGACGGCGGUGUUUGGCACCUCGAUGUCGGCUCAUCACAUCCUGGGGCUGAAGUAGGUCCCAAGGGUAUGGCUGUUCGCCAUUUAAAGUGGUACGCGAGCUGGGUUUAGAACGUCGUGAGACAGUUCGGUCCCUAUCUGCCGUGGGCGCUGGAGAACUGAGGGGGGCUGCUCCUAGUACGAGAGGACCGGAGUGGACGCAUCACUGGUGUUCGGGUUGUCAUGCCAAUGGCACUGCCCGGUAGCUAAAUGCGGAAGAGAUAAGUGCUGAAAGCAUCUAAGCACGAAACUUGCCCCGAGAUGAGUUCUCCCUGACUCCUUGAGAGUCCUGAAGGAACGUUGAAGACGACGACGUUGAUAGGCCGGGUGUGUAAGCGCAGCGAUGCGUUGAGCUAACCGGUACUAAUGAACCGUGAGGCUUAACCUUACAACGCCGAAG